CAUUAGUGUCCCUUUAAUGAAGUUCGUAACUCUCACAUGCAUUAAAGGAUCACUAUAGUGUCAGGAAAACAAACCAGUUUUCCUGAUACUAUAGCAUUUUUAGGACCCCACCACCAUCAGGAUCCCCCUCGCUUCAGCCACUUACCUUAAUCCAGCACCGCACUCCCUCGGCACUGGUGACCUCUCCUCCCCCUCCGAUGUCAGCUCCCGAGUAGAG